CUGGCGCAGGCGCGACCCCACCCGGCCCUCCCGUCUCCCAACUUGGGACAGACGCGGCGGCCGGGCGGUCGGAUCCGUGAGCCUCGGCCGCUGGGGCUACAUACACAGCCCAGGACGCCACAGAAUCGCCGAGGCCCCGCGAACGCCCAAACGGCCGCAAGUCGAAGUGAUCCCAUCUGAAGAAGACAGCGCGAGGAAGCGAGACCCUGCUGUGUGCCGGCCCCCGGAGGGCGCCCCGGGCCCUGUGGGUCGGAGGGUGGGGAAGCACAGAGAAACACGCAGGCAGUAAAACGUUAGGAGGACAGGGGGUGCCAGCGUGCAGGAAAUGCUGCUAAGAGACCUUUAGGAGCCAAGGGGAAAACGGAGAGAUUGGCAGUUCCAGGCACCCACAUCCCAGCGCGGUCCGCUCACCCCUUCCUCCCUGCCCUCCAGGCAGCGCUCAGCCCACGGUAGAAAUGUCUUGCAUCUUUUUUCCGACGAGGAAGAAUUGAACUUUUUAUACCCAACUUUUCUGCUUUCUUAGAAAUGUUGACUCACCUGUGAGGAAGCAUUAUUUGAAACUAUUAUUGUAAAUUGCUUGACAUUUGAAUUAGAUGCUGAAAGAUUAAAGGGUCUCAGAAGAAUCUUUUAAGCUAGACUGGAAUUGACUCUGCCUAAAUGGACAGCAACAGUCAUCUAUACGCAGGAAUAAUAAAGCAGGUGGAGGCAGCCUCUAACUUACCUUCCAGCCACACCGUAGAAUUUCCUGAGCAGGCUUUUUUGUCAGAGUUUUGAGCUGGGUUCCCUGAGACUGGAUUGGGGCUUUCAGUUUCUCCCCUUCUAGAGUCAGACUUCUUCCUGAAGAAAAAGUGUUAUCUCUACUUCCCUAUCACAAACACUUCCUAGAACACAGCCCUGUUAAAAGAACAAUGGUGAUACAUACAGGCGAGAGCAAAACCCACGAGGUGUCCACCUCACGGCCGACCACAAGAGAUCCUCAAGAGACACAUCUCAGGAAUGAUUCUGAACCUUCUUCACCAAAUAAAAUAUUCCAGAAAUAGUAUUAGAUUUAAUGUGUGUGUCCCUCCUUGCUGGUCUUCCUAGCAGCAGCCUUCUUGUUUCUUGCCUUUUUAGGCAAACAGCCUGAAACUUAGCACAGACGGUGGAAUUGCAGCACCUAUGAAGAUAUCACUGCAUCCUUUUUGCCUCAGGACAUCUUACUGAAAAUCAUUCUAUGUUAAAGCUAUACAUUUUGCUGAAAUUUUGAAGACAAACAUCAAUGGUGAAUUAUAAACUUGUAUUUGCCUAAAGGCUAGUGUGAACUUAUCACUUUCGCCUUCCCCCAGGCCAAGAUUUUCCCUCCCCUUGUUGCCCAAGCCUCACUUUCUAU
rnacentral:lncRNA from 1 species